GCCAGAAUGGUAUAGUGGUUUGAGCACUGGACUAGGACUCUGGAGACCAGGGUUUGAAUCCCUACUCAGCCA